UUCGCAAGUGUUAAAUAUAUGGGUUAAUAAGGGUUGCAACUAUUAUAAGUACAGAAAUCACUAAUCGCAUAUAGUAUACACACCUACUGGUUUACUUAACGAAAAAAUCUAUUGCAUACAAUGGUCGACACCGGAAGAUUACGAUUUAUAUCCGCUAAAUGUUGUUCGAGCUCUUCUAAAUUGAAAAUGUGGUCAACUGGGUUUAUGGUUUAUGCUGUAACAUUAAAUGAGUAUCCAUAAUAACUUACUCCUAAGCUGUUUUGGAACAGUCGUUCGAAGGCUAUACACGCAGCUCAACUCCUUUUACUUAGAAUAGACCCAAAGGUAGACGUCUGUUAUUAAAUUUUCGUAGAAGGCAUAAAUUAUGCAAUUAUUGUUAUUAAAUUUCUGUAGAAGGCAUUAAUUAUGUAAUCAUUGCCCUUUAAUGAGUAUAAAUGUAUGUACAUACUUGUAUGUGCAACUAGGAAUUGUUCUUAAAAUACUUGCCGCAUCCCAUGCCUAACAACGGACAAUAUUAGAACAUACAAGUAUGUGUGUGAGCACUAAUUAGUUUAAAGAAUCAUCAGUACGCACUUUAUUUAGUUUCCACUUUAUACAGGCAUUUUACCACUAAAUAUUUCUUAGUCAUAGCUAUAAAAACAUAUUUAUUUAGUAUUUCACAAAUUAACGAUUCAAAUUCAAAAUUUGAAAACGUAAAUCAAUUUAAAUUUCACUCAUAUGCACUAUGAGCUUUUUUGAUAAUUAUAUUUUCAUCAUUUUCAUAAUGUAAAUUAGUUUACUAUAUUAUAAACUAUUUCGAAAAUAAAGUAUAUUUCUUAAAAGUUAUGUUGUAGUGCAUUACAUUCAUAAAUUUUACUUAUGUAUAUAUAUCAUUUAUACCUACACAUUUGGGUACAUAGCAUUUGUAGUAAAAAGAAAAAUUUUUAAAAGAAAAAGUAAUUGAAAACGUAUUUUCUAAUAUUAUAAUUUCAUACGAACAGCAAUGUCAUUUCAAUUUUUUCAAAACGCCAUUAAUGUUCGGUUUGUUUGAAAUGAACUUGAGGAUUUGUAACCGAUUUUCUUUUACUAUACUUCAAUUUUAUUACUGAAACAAUUAGUAAUAAAUAAAUAAAAAUUAUAUAUUAAACUAAAAACUCUAUAAUAAUAAUUUAAUGUUAAGCAUAAAGGCCUAUUCACACACCCUUUAUGGACAAAAUAUAACAAAGACAA